GGGGACCUUAGAGCCCGCUUGUCCCGCCGCCGCGAGAUGGACGGCACGUAAAUGUCACACAUAACUAAGAAUAAAUGGGACCUUCUUGGCGAAGGACAGAAGGGGUCCCCAACCCCCAGUUUGUGGAUCAGUACCGGUCCCUGGCAUGCCAACAACCGCACAAACAAGCAAAGCCACAUCCGUGGGAUGCAGACAGCAUACAAAACCAUGCACUCUUCAGUCUGCGGAAAAACCUUUCUCCAUGGAACCAGUCUCUGGUGCCCCAAAAGUUAGGUUUGUAAUGAUGAUGGAAUUACAUGUUCAGCUUCUGAACUGAAAGAAGCCCAGACAGUCACGUCCAAAGGGGAGCAGUACUUAUGUCUGACCAGCAGAAUCAGAGUCAGGAGAAAGCAGUGCUGAUGGGCAGCAGUUCACUUAUCCUGCUCAGCUUCUGACAACAUUUAUUGAAACGGGAGAGGAGAAAAUCGUAUCUCUGAGAAACGUCUUCAAUCAGCCAUAGGCAACUGAGUUUUGAACCUCUUAGGGUUCUGAGAGCAAAUAUGACACAAACAAGUGUGGAGAACGUGAGAACUUACCCAUUCAUUCACUUGGCAUAUCACCCCGUGCCAUUUUGCCAAAACCGAAAGCCAGACAGAUACACAUUUGAAACAUUUUAUUGCCAUGACACAAACCUUCUGAUACUGUAUUACUCAGGAAUUGUGUAAUUAUCCAAUUACUAAGGCAAUUAAGCUUUAGAGGUUCACAGAGAACAUAACUUGUCUUGUAACUUGAACAGUUGGUGAUCUGCCAGCAGAAGAGAGGCAGAGGCAGAGCAGAAUCUCUGGUCUGUAAAAGUCUAGUCCAAGCCCUACAAAUUUCCAUGAGCUUGUCUAAAUACAGCACAAGGAGGAAUAAGAAUGCAGAUGCAAAAUCAGAGACGCUGCUGUUAUUUUUGUUUUUCAACAGAGGGACAAGAGCCUGGAAACUGUUCGUAUAUGACACCAUAUGCUGGCAUGCCUUUAUUAGUGGCCUUGCUGUCUGCUUCAGGGAAAUAUGUGGAUUCCCCUUGUUCAACCCAGCUGUGUGCCUGCCAAAAUCUGACCCCAAUUAACUCAUUCAGGUCUGAUCUACUCAGAGUCAUUGUUGCCUGAUGCUGCUAUAGGUAUAAGAUGACCAUCCUGGUUCUUUGGGUUGAUUGCCUGAUUUCUCUCUUCAGCUGCGGUCUCAGAGAAUUCAGAGAAGACCACAGCACACAUUCUGAACUGACCACAGCACACAUUCUGAAUUGACCAUAUAUAUUAGCUGAUUUCAUCUAUGAAACCUUAUCCAUCCAGUCCGCAUUCUUGGUGGGUAUCCACUGCAGAUGCUCAUCCAAUGGAAGGUAUUUGCCAGCACAACCCAGGAGAUGGAUUGGUACCAACUGUUUACCUGCAGUCUCUAUUUGUCUCCUAAAUCUGAUCUUUGCCAGAUCUACAAACCCUGCAAGUGGGAGGUAGAAUUCCUGGGGGGGGGGGGAGUCUCCUUUCCCAUUGCAAUCAGAGAUAGCCUUUGAUGCAUGGUAAACACAUCUGGAGACAGUUUCUCACAUUUCCCUGUGAUCUCUAGAGUAAAUAUAACCUGAAUGUGGAGGUGGCCACUGGGCACUGACCUCCCGAUCCGUGUUUCAUGAGUGAAUACUUUUUUUUUUAAUUAAUGGGUCACACAGACAUUUUAGAAUUUAAAUAUAUUCUCUGUUCUCGCAUAAAGCCAUUAAUAUCAAAAGUGCUAAGAUUUCUCUGAAAAUCACUGACUUGUUUAAGGUGGGUAGUGGCAGGGAGGAUAAUUAUUUCUUGCUCUGGCAUACUUGCAAGCAUUUUAAACAGCUAUACUAAUAUUUAAACAGUGAGAAUUUUUGAGAUUUUAUCUAUUCAUGUGUUUCAGUGUAAAACAUUCAGAAUGGCCAACAAAUAAGGAAUGACAGAGGGACGUUAUACUUUUAAAACCAUCAUUGAAUAAAUGUACAUAGUAUGGAAUAACCAUAGGUAAAUAAAAAGCAUAAGACUGUUGCAGAAUAUUUUGUAAAUUCAAAACAUUAUGGUUAGCCAUUGUUCUGUCUUUUAAUAAGAAUUAGUAAUAUUUCUUCUUUUUUUCUUUCUCUUUUUAAGUAUUUUUUCUUUUUAAUGUUUAUGUCAUAUAUAUUUUAUUAUUAACUAUUUUAUAAGUUGUUAAAAUUU